rnacentral:rRNA from 1 species
AACGUAGGAGGCGAGCGUUAUCCGGAUUUACUGGGCGUAAAGCGCGUGCAGGCGGUUAGGUAAGUUGUGCGUGAAAGCUCCCAGGCUCAACCGGGAGAGGACGUGCAAGACUGCCAGACUAGAAGUAGAGAGAGGCCAGUAGAAUUCCGGGUGUAGUGGUGAAAUGCGUAGAGAUCCGGAGGAAUACCAGAGGCGAAGGCGGCUGGCUGGCUCUAACUUGACGCUCAGACGCGAAAGCAUGGGGAGCGAACGGGAUUAGAAACCCCAGUAGUCC